rnacentral:rRNA from 1 species
CUUAAAAUCUAUAGUUCUUUGAAGGGCUAUCGAGUUGUAGCUUUUGGAAGUAGUUUUAAUUUUUUUCUCUACUGGGUUUUUUAUAACCAAGCUGGGUAAAAGUUCCUUUGAAUAGGACAUCAAAGAGGGUGAAAAUCCCGUAUUUGGCCCCACCUAGUAGUUGUAAAACUUUAUAAGCUGUUUUCUAUGAGUCGGGUUGUUUGGGAAUGCAGCCCUAAUUGGGAGGUAAAUUUCUUCCAAAGCUAAAUAUCAGCAAGAGACCGAUAGCAUACAAGUACCGUGAGGGAAAGAUGAAAAGCACUUUGAAAAGAGAGUGAAAAGUACGUGAAAUUGUUAAAAGGGAACCAGUUAGUUCUGGCCAUUUUUUUCUUAUUGUUUCUCUCGGGAAAUAGUAGGAGGGUCAACAUCAGUUGCUUUUUUUAGCUGCUAGAAAGGGAAUUUUUUGUAGACUAGUAAAGUCAGGUAGAAAUUAUCUUAAAGUUUCGGCUUUUUUAUAAUUUUGUUAUAGACUUUGUGGGUUUGCCUAUAUUUGCACCUAGUAGUGGCGGCGACUGAGGAAUUCAGUGUGUUUUUGACUUUUACGAGUUGAAUGGCUGGUUAUUGUUGCUAGUUUGUGGGCAAUUUUUUAUCUUUUUAGACAACUUUUUGUUGACUAAGAGGAGUUGAUUGUUUUUCCUACUUUCUUGGUAAUAUAUCUUCAGACUAACAAACACUUUGGAUGUUGGCUAUAAUGGCACUAAUUGACCCGUCUUGAAACACGGACCAAGGAGUUCAACAUAUAUGCGAGUAGAUGGGGGUAUUUAAACCCAGAUGCGCAAUGAAAGUGAAACUAUAACAUUUAUGUUAUGGAUAUAGAAUGCUAACUUUUUUUCUCUCGGGAAGGAUUGUGCAGCAUCAACCGACCUUAGAUAGCGUUGCUUGAAGAGGUUGAGUAAGAGCAUAUAUGCUGAGACCCGAAAGAUGGUGAACUAUGCCUGAAUAGGGUGAAGUCAGAGGAAACUCUGAUGGAAGCUCGUAGCGAUUCUGACGUGCAAAUCGAUCGCGAAAUUUGGGUAUAGGGGCGAAAGACUAAUCGAACCAUCUAGUAGCUGGUUCCUGCCGAAGUUUCCCUCAGGAUAGCAGAGACUUGUUUAGAGCAGUUUUACGAGGUAAAGCGAAUGAUUAGAGGCCUUGGGGCUGUAACAGCCUUAACCUAUUCUCAAACUUUAAAUGCGUAAGAAGUACUAGUUGCUUAAAUUUUUUAUGAACUAGUACACUUUGAAUGCAAGAAGUCUCUAGUGGGCCAUUUUUGGUAAGCAGAACUGGCGAUGCGGGAUGAACCGAACGUAGAGUUAAGGUGCCUAAAUGCACGCUAAUUUAGACACCAUAAAAGGUGUUAGUUCAUCUAGACAGCAGGGCGGUGGCCAUGGAAGUCGGAAUCCGCUAAGGAGUGUGUAACAACUCACCUGCCGAAUGAACUAGCCCUGAAAAUGGAUGGCGCUUAAGCGUGCUACCGAUACUCUACCGCAAAAGUUGAUUACAUUAAUAAUUCUUUUGCGAGUAGGCAGGCGUGGGGGUUAGUAUAGAAGCUGUGGGUGUGAACUCCAGUGGAACAACC